CAGCAGCCGCGGUAACACCAGCACCUCGAGUGGUCAGGAGGUUUAUUGGGCCUAAAGCAUCCGUAGCCGGUUGCAUAAGUUUUCGGUUAAAUCUAUGCGCUUAACGUAUAGGCCGCCGAAAAUACUGUGCAGCUAGGGAGUGGGAGAGGUACACGGUACUCGAUAGGAGGGGGUAAAAUCCUUUGAUCUAUCGAUGACCACCUGUGGCGAAGGCGGUGUACCAGAACACGUUCGACGGUGAGGGAUGAAAGCUGGGGGAGCAAACCGGAUUAGAUACCCGCGUAGUCCCUGUCUCUUAUAC
rnacentral:rRNA from 1 species